rnacentral:rRNA from 1 species
UGAAAUCUGGCGUCUUUGGCGUCCGAGUUGUAAUUUGCAGAGGGCGCUUUGGCAUUGGCAGCGGUCCAAGUUCCUUGGAACAGGACGUCACAGAGGGUGAGAAUCCCGUACGUGGUCGCUAGCCUUUACCGUGUAAAGCCCCUUCGACGAGUCGAGUUGUUUGGGAAUGCAGCUCUAAAUGGGAGGUAAAUUUCUUCUAAAGCUAAAUACUGGCCAGAGACCGAUAGCGCACAAGUAGAGUGAUCGAAAGAUGAAAAGCACUUUGGAAAGAGAGUUAAAAAGCACGUGAAAUUGUUGAAAGGGAAGCGCUUGCAGCCAGACUUGCCUGUAGUUGCUCAUCCGGGUUUUUACCCGGUGCACUCUUCUACGGGCAGGCCAGCAUCAGUUUGGGCGGUGGGAUAAAGGUCUUUGUCAUGUACCUCCUCUCGGGGAGAUCUUAUAGGGGAGACGACAUGCAACCAGCCUGGAUUGAGGUCCGCGCAUCUGCUAGGAUGCUGGCGUAAUGGCUGUAAGCGGCCCGUCUUGAAACCCGGACCAAGGAGUCUAACAUCUAUGCGAGUGUUUGGGUGUCAAGCCCGAACGCGUAAUGAAAGUGAACGGAGGUGGGAACCUUUCGGGGUGCACCAUCGACCGAUCCUGAUGUCUUCGGAUGGAUUUGAGUAAGAGCAUAGCUGUUGGGACCCGAAAGAUGGUGAACUAUGCUUGAAUAGGGUGAAGCCAGAGGAAACUCUGGUGGAGGCUCGCAGCGGUUCUGACGUGCAAAUCGAUCGUCAAAUUUGGGCAUAGGGCGACAGACUAUCG